AGUGAACGCUGGCGGUAGGCCUAACACAUGCAAGUCGAACGGCAGCACAGUAAGAGCUUGCUCUUACGGGUGGCGAGUGGCGGACGGGUGAGGAAUACAUCGGAAUCUACUUUUUCGUGGGAGAUAACGUAGGGAAACUUACGCUAAUACCGCAUACGACCUACGGGUGAAAGCAGGGGAUCUUCGGACCUUGCGCGAUUGAAUGAGCCGAUGUCGGAUUAGCUAGUUGGCGGGGUAAAGGCCCACCAAGGCGACGAUCCGUAGCUGGUCUGAGAGGAUGAUCAGCCACACUGGAACUGAGACACGGUCCAGACUCCUACGGGAGGCAGCAGUGGGGAAUAUUGGACAAUGGGCGCAAGCCUGAUCCAGCCAUACCGCGUGGGUGAAGAAGGCCUUCGGGUUGUAAAGCCCUUUUGUUGGGAAAGAAAAGCGGCAGGUUAAUACCCCGCUGUUCUGACGGUACCCAAAGAAUAAGCACCGGCUAACUUCGUG
rnacentral:rRNA from 1 species